rnacentral:rRNA from 1 species
GGACUCUCGGCAACGGAUAUCUCGGCUCUUGCAUCGAUGAAGAACGUAGCGAAAUGCGAUACUUGGUGUGAAUUGCAGAAUCCCGUGAACCAUCGAGUCUUUGAACGCAAGUUGCGCCCGAAGCCAUUUGGCCGAGGGCACGCCUGCCUGGGUGUCG